UUCACCUCGUACCUUUUGCAUCAUGAUUUAGCCAGUGCAACCCAAGCAAAGAGCACUUUAGUUUGUUAACCCGAAACUUUGUGAGCUACUCCAAGGCAACCUAAUUAAUAGGGCCAACCCGUCUCUGUAGCAAAAGAGUGGGAAGACCUUCGAGUAGAGGUGAUAAACCUACCGAACUUAGUAAUAGCUGGUUGCCGAUCAACUGGAUAGAAGUUCAGCCUCCCGGCUUCUUCCUUCCUAUAAUUUUUUUAUACACAGAUUCUACAAGAAACCGAGAGAGUUAGUCGAAGGGGGUACAGCCCCUUAGAAACAAGAUACAACUUUUUUAGGAGGAUAAAGAUCACAAUUAAAUAAGGCAAAACAUCAGGGUGGGCCUGAAAGCAGCCAUCCCAUCAAAAAGCGUUAAAGCUCAGACACUUUAUUUUCAAGCCUCAAGUCUCGACCAUCACCUCUUACUCCCCUUAUCCUACUGGGCCGUCCCAUGCAAACAUGGGAGCGAUUCUGCUUAAAUCAGUAUACAAGAGAGCCUAACGGCUCUCUCCCUGCAUACG
rnacentral:rRNA from 1 species